ensembl:lncRNA
CUUAGCUAAGCUGUUUACCAUGAAAAGGAGGCAGAUCGAUACCUGUGGACCAAGUCUCUCUCCAACCUACCUAAAUUGUCCUACGACAACGUCCUAAGGAUCGUAAAUCAGCACUCACGUGUCGAUACAUCUAAACUACGCAAAGGAUAUAAGUUCUUCUGGGAGAAGUACAUUUUUAAUUACAAAGACACAUGACUACCACUUCACAGGGGAGCAAAGCGUGCCAACACCUCUGUCGUGCACCAGUGUUCUGCAGUCGUGGACCAAGGACACAGGGGAUUCGCCCGGAACCCACUGACCAACUUGUGGUCAGGAAACCCAAGGUUUGGGUUAGGUGUUUUAUUUUAACACAUACAUGGACACAUACCUCCUGAAUGCCAAGUAAACAUGGCCGAGGGACACACACACACAUUUCAUUUAUUUAUUUCUCUUUCUGCUACAUCUUAAAUACAUUGCACUUUCUAAAAAGCUUUUUGAACUUUGCCUUUAUUUUCUAUUUUAAUACUAAAAUGCCUUUAACUUUCUAUUUUACUCAUUUCUUUGCAUAUGUUUUCUUUUACUUAUCUAUUUUAUUGUAUGACAAUGUUUAUAUGUGAAGCACUUUGAGUUUGCCUUGUGUAUGAAAAGUGCUAUAUAAAUAAAGUUGCCUUGCCUAACACACACAGAACAUUUCAUUUCUUUCUGUUAAAUGUAAAUAUGUAUAUAUGUAAAUUUAUAUUUAAAAAAAAAAAGAAUUGGAAAAAUUAAAUAAACAUUUGAAAAGGACGGACGGACACAAACACACAAUUUUAAUUUCUUUCUGCUAAAUGUAAACAAAGAACAUUAAUAAACGUUUGAAAAUAG